GAUUUGGUAGCUCAGGGGGAGAGCACUUGCUUGACAGGCAAGGGGUCGUGGGUUCAAUCCCCACCCAGAUCAUCA
rnacentral:tRNA from 1 species